rnacentral:rRNA from 1 species
GCUGUUGAAAAAGCAUGGGAUGAGCUGUGGAUAGCGGAGAAAUUCCAAUCGAACCCGGAGAUAGCUGGUUCUCUCCGAAAUAGCUUUAGGGCUAGCGUCGAGUAUGAGUAGUGGAGGUAGAGCACUGAAUGGGCUAGGGGGCAUAGCGCUUACCGAACCUUAUCAAACUCCGAAUGCCACAUACUUUGAGCUCGGCAGUCAGACUACGAAUGAUAAGAUCCGUGGUCAAAAGGGAAACAGCCAAGAUCGUCAGCUAAGGUCCCAAAGUGUAAGUUAAGUGGGAAAGGAUGUGAGAUUUCUAAGACAACUAGGAUGUUGGCUUAGAAGCAGCCAUUCAUUAAAAGAGUGCGUAAUAGCUCACUAGUCGAGAGAUCUUGCGCCGAAAAUGUAACGGGGCGAAACUUACCACCGAAGCUACGGGCUUGAACUUAGUUCAAGCGGUAGGAGAGCGUCGUAACCGGGCUGAAGUCGUACCGUAAGGAGCGGUGGACUGGUUACGAGUGAGAAUGUUGGCAUCAGUAGCGAGAUGUGGGUGAGAAUCCCACAGGCCGAAAACCUAAGGUUUCCUCAGGAAGGUUCGUCCGCUGAGGGUUAGUCGGGACCUAAGCCGAGGCCGAAAGGCGUAGGUGAUGGACAACUGGUUGAUAUUCCAGUACCACUAC